rnacentral:rRNA from 1 species
GAGUUUGAUCAUGGCUUAGGAUUAACGCUGGCGGUAUGCAUAACACAUGCAAGUCGAACGGUCUGUAGCAAUACAGAUAGUGGCAAACGGGUGAGUAAUACGUAUUUAAUCUACCCUUUAGAGGAGGAUAACUAGUCGAAAGAUUAGAUAAUACUCCAUAGGAAGUUUUUACAUAAGUAGAAAUUUUUAAAGUUGCGUUUGCAACACUUUAGGAUGAGAGUGCGGCUUAUCAGAUAGUUGGUGAGGUAAUGGCCCACCAAGUCGAUGACGAGUAGCUAUGCUGAGAGGUAGAAUAGCCACAACGGAACUGAGAUACGGUUCGUACUCCUACGGGAGGCAGCAGUGGGGAAUUUUUCACAAUGGGCGAAAGCCUGAUGGAGCAAUACCGCGUGGAUGAUGAAGGUCGUAAGAUUGUAAAAUCCUUUUAUAUGGGGCAAAUAGCUAGAUUAGGAAAUGAAUUUAGUUUGAUAGUACCAUUUUGAAUAAGUAACGGCAAACUUCGUGCCAGCAGCCGCGGUAAUACGAAGGUUACAAGCGUUAUCCGGAUUAACUGGGUGUAAAGGGAUGCGUAGGCGGAAUAACAAGUCUGGUAUAAAAUGCUAUUGCUCAAAAAUAGUAUGUAUUGGAAACUGUUAUUCUAGAGUGGAAUAGAGAGUUAUAGAACUCCAUGUGGAGCGGUGGAAUGCGUAGAUAUAUGGAAGAAUACCGGAAGCGAAGGCGAUAACUUAGAUUCCUACUGACGCUUAGGCUCGAAAGUGUGGGGAGCAAAUAGGAUUAGAUACCCUAGUAGUCCACACCUUAAACAAUGAUCAUUUAGUUUUUGCAUUUAAUGUGCAUGAACUGUAGCUAACGCGUUAAAUGAUCCACCUGAGUAGUACAUUCGCAAGAAUGAAACUCAAACUGGAAUUGACGGGGACCAGCACAAAUGGUGGAUUAUGUUGUUUAAUUCGUCAGUACACGCAGAACCUUACCAAGAUUUGACAUCCUCUGCAAAGUUAUAGAAAUAUAAUGGAGGUUAACAGAGUGACAGGUGAUGCAUGGUUGUCGCCAGCUCGUGUCGUGAGAUGUUGGGUUAAGUCCCGCAACGAGCGAAACCCCUAACGUUAGUUAAUUUAUCUAGCGCAACUGCCUAUGUAAGUAGGAGGAAGGCGGGGAUGACGUCAAAUAUCAUGUCCUUUAUAUCUUGGGCUACAAACGUAAUACAAUGGUCGGUACAAACUGUUACCAAACCGUAAGGUGGAGUUAAUCAGAAAAAGCCGAUCUCAGUUCGGAUCGAGGGUUGCAAUUCAUCCUCGUGAAGCUGGAAUCAUUAGUAAUCGCGUAUCAGACAUGUCGCGGUGAAUACGUUCUCUGGUCUUGUACACACCGCCCGUC